rnacentral:rRNA from 1 species
GACGAACGCUGGCGGCGUGCUUAACACAUGCAAGUCGAACGGAAAGGCCCUGCUUUUGUGGGGUGCUCGAGUGGCGAACGGGUGAGUAACACGUGAGUAACCUGCCCUUGACUUUGGGAUAACUUCAGGAAACUGGGGCUAAUACCGGAUAGGAGCUCCUGCUGCAUGGUGGGGGUUGGAAAGUUUCGGCGGUUGGGGAUGGACUCGCGGCUUAUCAGCUUGUUGGUGGGGUAGUGGCUUACCAAGGCUUUGACGGGUAGCCGGCCUGGGAGGGUGACCGGCCACCUUGGGACUGAGAUACGGCCCAGUCUCCUACGGGAGGCAGCAGUGGGGAAUAUUGCACAAUGGGCGGAAGCCUGUUGCAGCAACGCCGCGUUCGGGAUGACGGCCUUCGGGUUGUAAACCGCUUUCGCCUGUGACGAAGCGUGAGUGACGGUAAUGGGUAAAGAAGCACCGGCUAACUACGUG